rnacentral:rRNA from 1 species
GAUGAACGCUAGCUACAGGCUUAACACAUGCAAGUCGAGGGGCAGCAUUUUAGUUUGCUUGCAAACUGAAGAUGGCGACCGGCGCACGGGUGAGUAACACGUAUCCAACCCGCCGAUAACUCCGGAAUAGCCUUUCGAAAGAAAGAUUAAUACCGGAUAGCAUACGAAUAUCGCAUGAUAUUUUUAUUAAAGAAUUUCGGUUAUCGAUGGGGAUGCGUUCCAUUAGUUUGUUGGCGGGGUAACGGCCCACCAAGACUACGAUGGAUAGGGGUUCUGAGAGGAAGGUCCCCCACAUUGGAACUGAGACACGGUCCAAACUCCUACGGGAGGCAGCAGUGAGGAAUAUUGGUCAAUGGGCGAGAGCCUGAACCAGCCAAGUAGCGUGAAGGAUGAAGGCUCUAUGGGUCGUAAACCUCUUUUAUAUGGGAAUAAAGUUUUCCACGUGUGGAAUUUUGUAUGUACCAUAUGAAUAAGGAUCGGCUAACUCCGUGCCAGCAGCCGCGGUAAUACGGAGGAUCCGAGUGUUAUCCGGAUUUAUUGGGUUUAAAGGGAGCGUAGGUGGAUUGUUAAGUCAGUUGUGAAAGUUUGCGGCUCAACCGUAAAAUUGCAGUUGAAACUGGCAGUCUUGAGUACAGUAGAGGUGGGCGGAAUUCGUGGUGUAGCGGUGAAAUGCUUAGAUAUCACGAAGAACUCCGAUUGCGAAGGCAGCUCACUAGACUGUCACUGACACUGAUGCUCGAAAGUGUGGGUAUCAAACAGGAUUAGAUACCCUGGUAGUCCACACAGUAAACGAUGAAUACUCGCUGUUUGCGAUAUACAGUAAGCGGCCAAGCGAAAGCAUUAAGUAUUCCACCUGGGGAGUACGCCGGCAACGGUGAAACUCAAAGGAAUUGACGGGGGCCCGCACAAGCGGAGGAACAUGUGGUUUAAUUCGAUGAUACGCGAGGAACCUUACCCGGGCUUAAAUUGCAACAGAAUAUAUUGGAAACAGUAUAGCCGUAAGGCUGUUGUGAAGGUGCUGCAUGGUUGUCGUCAGCUCGUGCCGUGAGGUGUCGGCUUAAGUGCCAUAACGAGCGCAACCCUUAUCUUUAGUUACUAACAGGUCAUGCUGAGGACUCUAGAGAGACUGCCGUCGUAAGAUGUGAGGAAGGUGGGGAUGACGUCAAAUCAGCACGGCCCUUACGUCCGGGGCUACACACGUGUUACAAUGGGGGGUACAGAAGGCGGCUACCUGGUGACAGGAUGCUAAUCCCAAAAACCUCUCUCAGUUCGGAUCGAAGUCUGCAACCCGACUUCGUGAAGCUGGAUUCGCUAGUAAUCGCGCAUCAGCCAUGGCGCGGUGAAUACGUUCCCGGGCCU